CGAUCCCUGCCCUGGUCCCUGCCCGCAGCCUUUGCUCCAGCCCCUCCUCGCAGCCCUGCCAUCGCUGCCCCUGCCUGUGACCCCUGCCCGAGACCUCUGCCUGCCAUCCCUGACCCCUGUUCCCUCCCUGAGACCCCUGAUCCCUGCCCGAGACCUUUGCCCAUCAUCCCUCCUGUGACCCCUGACCCCGAUCCCCGCCCGGGCUGGGGUCACCGCGGCCCCGAGCUGGACGCAGGGCUGGGUGCAGGGAAACACCCACCCUGGUGCCAGCUGCAGCAUGGGGUGAUUGCAGCACAAACCACGCGGUGCUGAUUUAAUGUUUGUUUUUCAGUUCCCCUGUGACACUUUUAGCCUCUGUGGAGAUUGAGAAACCCUCUGUUGGAGAAGCAACGGGAAACCCCAGAGCAAGAGUUUGGUUUCUGCAGAGACGAGCCCAGCGAUAAACAGAGACAGACUUUCUAAUUUGGGGGUUGUGAUGUGGGUGGAUGCUGCAAGAUAAACCAGCUGCCAGGAGCUGCUGUCCCAGUGCUCACUGUGGCACAGGACUGAAGGGUCAGGGGUGCUCAGUUCCCAGUUCUGCAGCUGCAGAGCCUGCACAGCCGCUGCUGACACAGCUCCAGACCUCAGAUCACCCGUCUGAGCUGUGACUCUCUCUGCUCCUGUGGGAAGGAGGCAGAGGCAGCAGGGAUUUACAUAACCCUCUGCCAAGGAGGCAGGAACAAGAAACAUCGCUCAGGAAUGUGUUCCCUGGAUGGGUUCAGCUGCUUUGGUCCCCCAGCACAGCCAGCCAUCCCCAGCAGGCAGAUGCCAGGCUGGAAGCAUGGAAUGGCUCGGCCUGGCUGCUCCCUGCCUGGCACAAAAUGAAGCUGCAGCUGAGCCUCUCCUGUCCCAGGACAUCCAGCUCAGCCCGGCCAUGGGCGGCCGUGCAGGCUGACCACACGUCAUUGUGGACACAUCCACCAAGCUCCAAAGUGGCAGAACUGGGAUUUCCAGUCUGUUCCCGUGCCCACGGGGACACCCCACGCUGGCUCUGCACCACAGAAGAGGAACAGCACGACUGACAUGUGCCAGCACCGUCCCUCCCUCCAGCACUCCAGAGCUGCUCCUUCAGUGCACCAAACCCAACAACCCCUAUGGACACACGGGGCUUAUGGCAAGGGAGCUGAAGCUGAAAUUACAGGCAGUGAGGACAAGCCCAGAGUCUUGCUUGGUGGCUGCACAUUGUUUAAAGACUGGCUGUGGCUGGAGGAGGCACCCAGAGACUGGGCCAGGUCUGGGGAACUCUGUACACAGCCCCACAGGGCUCCAUCCUUGGCCCAGUCCUCUUCAACAUCUUCAUUAAAUAUUCUUGCUGCUCCAAA